CGACUACUCCCUCCGUUCCAUAAUUCUUGUCGAAAUAUUACAUGUAUCUAGUCACUUUUUAGGAAUAGAUACAUCCAUUUUUGGGCAAAUCUGAGACAAGAAUUAUGGAAGAGGGAGUAGUUA
rnacentral:pre_miRNA from 1 species